rnacentral:rRNA from 1 species
AGCCAUGCAUGUCUAAGUACAAGCUGUGUUUGACACAGCGAGACCGCGGACGGCUCAUUAAAUCAGUCGUGGUCCAUAUGGGCCAGUGUUGAUCCUACUUGGACAACUGUGGUAAUUCCAGAGCUAAUACAUGCAACUCUUAUCCUGAAGGAGCACGGCAUUUACUUGUCGCUGUUCUCUGACGGAUGCUUUUAUUAGACCAAACCGCUGGGUGCGUGGUGUUUCACUUUAGGGUGUUCCCACGUUUGACUCGUGUGAUGGUGACUCUGAAUAACCUUUCUUGACAAGCGCAAGUACCCCUCUUAUGAGCUGGGACGGCGCUACCACUUUCGAGUGUCUGACUUAUCAGCUAUCAACCGUUCGUUAUGUGCGACCGAUGGCGUUGACGGGUAACGGGGAAUCAGAGUUCGAUUCCGGAGAGGCAGCCUGAGAGACGGCUACCACGUCCAAGGACGGCAGCAGGCACGCAAAUUACCCAAUCCCAGCAUCUGGGGGAGGUAGUGACGAAAUCUAACGAUGCGGGCGCCCUUUCUGGGGCCCCGCAAUCGGAAUGGCCAUUUUCUAAACAACCUGUUGAGAACCUACUGAAGGGCAAGUCUGGUGCCAGCAGCCGCGGUAAUUCCAGCUUCAGCAGCAUCUAUUAAAGUUGCUGCGGUUAAAAGGCUCGCAGUUGAAUGUCAGUACCGAGCGCAGGUCAGGUGGACGCUGGGGCGUGGGAACACAAGGCGCGUCGCUUCUCUGGUUCUGGUGUCUGCUCUCAUUCUGGUGCGUGUGUACCCCCGGGUGCGCGCGUGCUCGUGUGUGUUGCGUGUGCCAUGUUUCUUCGGGUUGCGUGCGUGUCUCUCACAAGC